GUCGCGUUAAACUGUUAUUUCCGACUUCGAUGCGCGCAAUAAAAUAUAAAAAAGGAUAAGCUCGUGCUUCAGUUUCGAGAAAGAAACGGAUCCGAGGAUUCGCGAGCCCAAGAAACAUGUCGGAUCCCAAGGAAAGAAACGAACGAACAAACGAAGGGGAGAGAACAAGGUCCAAAAAGGGAAAACCUCGAGAACGAGAUCGACAUCGGAAGCCGUGAGUAGUAGGGAAGGAGGAGCUCAC
rnacentral:lncRNA from 1 species